UACGUAGGGUGCGAGCGUUAAUCGGAAUUACUGGGCGUAAAGUGUGCGCAGGCGGCCGAGCAAGUCGAGUGUGAAAGCCCCGAGCUUAACUUGGGAAUUGCGCUCGAAACUACUUGGCUGGAGUGUGGCAGAGGAAGGUGGAAUUCCAGGUGUAGCGGUGAAAUGCGUAGAUAUCUGGAGGAACACCGGUGGCGAAGGCGCCCACCUGGCCUGCUACUGACGCUGAAGCUCGAAAGCUAGGGGAGCAAACGGG
rnacentral:rRNA from 1 species